rnacentral:rRNA from 1 species
UACGGAGGGAGCUAGCGUUGUUCGGAAUUACUGGGCGUAAAGCGUACGUAGGCGGUUAUUCAAGUCAGAGGUGAAAGCCCGGGGCUCAACCCCGGAACUGCCUUUGAAACUAGAUGACUAGAAUCUUGGAGAGGUCAGUGGAAUUCCGAGUGUAGAGGUGAAAUUCGUAGAUAUUCGGAAGAACACCAGUGGCGAAGGCGGCCACCUGGUUCAGCACUGACGCUCAGACACGACAGCAUGGGGAGCGAACGGG